rnacentral:rRNA from 1 species
GAUGAACGCUGACAGAAUGCUUAACACAUGCAAGUCAACUGUGGCGGACGGGUGAGUCACGCGUAAAGAACUUGCCUCACGGAUAGGGACAACAUUUGGAAACGAAUGCUAAUACCUGCUACUGUGAGAGAGCUUUGCGUCCCAUGAGCUAGUUGGGGAGGUAACGGCUGACAAAGGCGAUGAUGGGUAGCCGGCCUGAGAGGGUGAUCGGCCACAAGUGGACUCGGAAACGGCCCUUACUCCUACGGGAGGCAGGAGUGGGGAAUAGGUGACAAUGGACCAAAGUGUGAUCCAGGAAUUCGGUGUGCACGAUGAAGUUUUCGGAAUGUAAAGUGCUUUCAGUUGGGAAGCGGUACCAACAGAAGAAGUGACGGCUAACUACGUGCCAGCAGCCGCGGUAAUUC